rnacentral:rRNA from 1 species
ACAAGCGGCGGAGCAUGUGGAUUAAUUCGAUGCAACGCGAACGAACCUUACCUGGGCUUGACAUACACCGGAUCGGGCUAGAGAUAGUCUUUCCCUUGUGGCUGGUGUACAGGUGGUGCAUGGUUGUCGUCAGCUCGUGUCGUGAGAUGUUGGGUUAAGUCCCGCAACGAGCGCAACCCUUGUCUUAUGUUGCCAGCACGUGAUGGUGGGGACUCAUGAGAGACUGCCGGGGUUAACUCGGAGGAAGGUGGGGAUGACGUCAAAUCAUCAUGCCCCUUAUGUCCAGGGCUUCACACAUGCUACAAUGGUCGGUACAACGCGUGUGCGACACUGUGAGGUGAAGCUAAUCGCUCUAAAGCCGGUCGUAGUUCGGAUUGGGGUCUGCAACUCGACCCCAUGAAGUCGGAGUCGCUAGUAAUCGCAGAUCAGCAACGCUGCGGUGAAUACGUUCCCGGGCCUU